rnacentral:lncRNA from 1 species
AUGCAAUGCAAUGCAUGUGAUGCACGCAAUGCAUGCAACACGUGUGAUGCCCAUGAUGCACACGACGCCCACAAUGCACACAACGCACACAAUGCCUGCGAUGCACACGACGCAUGCAAUGCACAUGAUGCAAUACAUGUGAUGCCCACAAUGCCUGCCAUGCACACGAAGCCCGGGACACCCAAGACCACCCCCCCGGGGGGGGUCUCACCGGUGGAGGUCGUCGCUGCCCUGGCUGGCGUUGGGCGCCCGGCAGUCGUUGUUGAACUCGGGGAUGAAGCCGUAGUCCCGCAGCAGGGCCUCGGCCCCCUUGGCCACGAUGGCCACGCCGUUGCGCACGCGGUGCUGGAGGUCGUCGCGCCAGCCGGAGGAGAGCACGGCGAAGAGGCCGGCGGGGAGGUCCUCGGGCAGCUCCUCGCUGCCCCCCAGGUUGGUGCCCACCACGAACCAGAUGUAGCCGGGCCCGGCCAGGCCGGCCUCCCGCGCCGCCCGGAAAAUGGCCUCGGCCUCCUCCCGCGAGCAGUAGAGGAGCCGGAUCUGGGCGCUGAGCUCGCGGAGCUGGCGCCGCAGCCGCGUCCCCUCGGGGUCGUCGGUCAGGUUGAGGGUGAGGACGCCGCGGUGCUCCCAGCCGAUGAAGCUGCUGUCGGUCAGCACCUCCACGUAGUCCACGAAGUCCUCGUAGCCGGGGAAGAGGGUGGUGACGACGGCGAAGGACGUCCAGUCGUACUCCUCCAGCACCUCGAAGAUCACCUGGAGCUGCUGCUCUGUCGAGGAGCCCAGCUGGAGGAAGGUCUGGGCCGAGAGGAAGUCGAGGAUCUGCGCCACCGCCGGCGAGCCCGAGUCGUCCUCGAAGACGACGCCGUGGAUGCGCAGCGAGGAGAGGACGUCGCAGAGGCGCACGAUGAGGCUCCGGGGGUUGGUGUCGUUCAACACCACGGCCACCGGGUUGACCUCCAGGGGGAAGUCCCGGAAGGCGGCGGGGGUCAGGCGGGGGCCGGGGGGGCCGUAGGAAGAGCCGCUGAGGACCACGGCCACGUUGAGGGUCCGUCGGGUCCCCUCCGGCCGCGGGUCCAAGAAGGGGCCGGCGCACGCCAGCGCCAGGGCGAAGAGCAUGGUGCCC